CAAUUGCUCCACUAUGAGAUGGACCUGCGUUGUAUUAGCUAGUUGGUGAGGUAAAGGCUCACCAAGGCGACGAUACAUAGCCGACCUGAGAGGGUGAUCGGCCACACUGGGACUGAGACACGGCCCAGACUCCUACGGGAGGCAGCAGUAGGGAAUCUUCGGCAAUGGGGGCAACCCUGACCGAGCAACGCCGCGUGAGUGAAGAAGGUUUUCGGAUCGUAAAGCUCUGUUGUUAGAGAAGAAUGAUGGUGGGAGUGGAAAAUCCACCAAGUGACGGUAACUAACCAGAAAGGGACGGCUAACUACGUGCCAGCAGCCGCGGUAAUACGUAGGUCCCGAGCGUUGUCCGGAUUUAUUGGGCGUAAAGCGAGCGCAGGCGGUUUUUUAAGUCUGAAGUUAAAGGCAUUGGCUCAACCAAUG
rnacentral:rRNA from 1 species